CAACCCCCCCCCAGGCCCCCCCCCCCCCCCCCCCCCCCCCCCCCAGGUGACACCAGAACCCCCAAAUUUGGGCUCGAGCCGCCCCAAAAUCGCCAGAUUUGGGUUAAAACCACCCAAAAUCAUCCCCAACCCCCAAAUUUGGGGUCAAAUCCCCCCCAAAAAUCCCCAAAAUUCGGCUUCAAACAUCCCCAAAAUCCCCCCAGAACCCCCAAAUUUGGGAUUAGAGCCCCAAAAAUCGUCCCAAACCCCCCAAAAUUUGGGGUCAAAGGUCCCCCCAAACCAUCCCAGAACCCCCAAAAUUUGGGGUCGAACGGGGGAGAGGGAAGGCGGGAAGGGGAAGGGGCCUGAGGGGGUCACCGGGUGGCCACUGGUCACUGAGGGUCAGUGGGUGGUCACCAGGUGGUCAGUGGUGGUCAGUGAUGGUCAGUGGUGGUCAGUGGUUGGUGGUCAGUGAUGGUCAGUGAUGGUCAGUGAUGGUCAGUGAUGGUCAGUGGCGGUCGGUGGGUGGUCAGCGGUGGUCGGUGGGUGGUCAGUGAUGGUCAGUGGGUGGUCAGCAGCCCCCCCCCCCCCCCCCCCCCCCCCCCCCCCCCCCCCCCCCCCCCCCCCCCCCCCCCCCCCCCCCCCCCCC
rnacentral:lncRNA from 12 species